rnacentral:lncRNA from 13 species
CCCACAGAGCUGGCUCACCGAUUUUUGGCGCUCUUCCUUGCCUUUUUUUUGUGGCAUGCUCUGUGGCUGCUCUGGAGAAUGACUCUUCCCGAGUGUUUUCACCAGAACACUUGGGAAAGCAAUGCAGGGUGGUUCUAAGUGUCUCCGGGGUGAAGCAAAUAUGGCCUUAUACCAAGGAUGACAAUGCCACUGAUUAUGGAAUUUUGAAGGCGCUUUAAAAAAAAAUUUGUUCAGAGCAUUCCAACUCACCUAAAAAGGUAGGUU